CAUUAUAUUAAAUACAGGUAAAAUUCUCAGGCGAUCUUAUUUAUAAUUUUAAAUCUAAAAUUUUGCACAGGCAAAACCGCGUGCAAUAGUAGUGACAUUAACGUAAUGUGAUGAAACUUACUUUUUACCUUAGACCCAACAGGGUAUUGAGCUGGCAACGUCCCAUAGGUUCACUUCACGACCUUGACGACGGUCAAUAGGAAGAGCGGCAACGUCGGUUGUAAUAUGUCAAAUCAUAAAUAAAGCUUCUAUCAAAUACUCAUAACAAUGGAGGUACACGAGUGUACUUUGUUUACCGUUGUUUACUUUUCUUGACGUAAGUGAAGACGCUAUUUCAAGAAAUUUGAAGUGCUAAUUCAUUAAAAUAUGUACGCUUUCAUGACUGUGCCUCAACUUAAAGUUGAGGUUCGUAAAAGAAAUGCGUCAAUUGCCGGAAAAAAAGGCUAAUUUGAUAGAAAGAUUGCAAUCUAAUGACCGGAAUAAAAAUUUUGGUGUUGACUGCGAGAUCCAAGAGGAGAUCGCAUAUCUGAGUCCAGCCACUGAUACUUUCAGAGACAUAAUUGCGGACACUUCUUUACCAAUGAUUACGAGACAAGCAAUACAGGAAUAUUUUGAAAGUUAUGUACCCAUAUGUAAUGAUUAUAAUCUUAGGCAGUUGUUUACAAAGAUGACAGUGUAAAUUUUAUGUAUUUAAAUUGGUAUACCUACACUCAUAUAUCAUGAUAUCUUGAUAACAUUAUAUUAUAUUUUCUUACUACAUUAUUGUUUUUGCAGAUAUAAUACUCAGCAUAAAGGACAACUCCUGUACGAAUUUCGACAUCUUGUGACUGCCCGCUAUUCCACAGAUGGCAUUUAUACCCACUUGCGAGGACAAUGUAAAGCCAGUAUGAAAAAAAUGACAUGUGAACCCGCAAAUCCACAUGGCAUUGAAUGGGAUCGUUACACCUAUGUAGAUAGGACUCCAAUAGAUAUUUUACUAGAGAAGCUAUUAUUAAAAAUAUUAUAUCUGAACAAAUUCAGGAAGUGAGAAGAAUACAAGAGCCCAAAGUGAUUCCUCUGAGUGGCAUGAAAGAUCAUGCAGGAUUACUGCCAGUAUGUUUCAUUUAGUGUGCCACAGUAAAACAUAUGAGUACCAAAAAUAUAUGUAAUCGAUAUGAUUUUGGCCCCCAAAGCUGUGCAGACUAUGUUAGUUGUGCAUAGUAAAAUCCAAGAAACUAUUUCCAUUGCCAAAUAUGAUAGAGAUUAUGGACUAAAAAUAAAAAAAAGUGGAUUCAUUAUAUCAUUUGAAUAUCCUUUUCUGGCUGUUUCUCCAGACGGUAUAUUGGGUAAAGAUACUAUUGUUGAGGUUAAGUGUCCAUAUGCUGCUAGAUAUUAUAAAAUAACCUCUGUGACUG